rnacentral:rRNA from 1 species
AUUGAACGCUGGCGGUAGGCCUAACACAUGCAAGUCGAGCGGAGCGGCGGAAGGGUGACUAAUGUAUGGGGAUCUGCGCGGUAGAGGGGGUUAAGUACUGGAAACUGUUGCUAAUACCGCAUACUAUCGGAUGAGCCCAUAUGGGAUUAGCUAGUGGGUGGGGUAAAGGCCCACCUAGGCGACGAUCUCUAGCUGGUCUGAGAGGAUGAUCAGUCACACUGGAACUGAGACACGGUCCAGACUCCUACGGGAGGCAGCAGUGGGGAAUAUUGGACAAUGGGCGAAAGCCUGAUCCAGCCAUGCCGCGUGUGUGAAGAAGGUCUUAGGAUUGUAAAGUACUUUAAGUGGGGAGGCGUUACCCGCAGAAUAAGCACCGGCUAACUCCGUGCCAGCAGCCGCGGUAAUAC